rnacentral:rRNA from 1 species
UACGGAGGGUGCAAGCGUUAUCCGGAUUCACUGGGUUUAAAGGGUGCGUAGGUGGGCAGGUAAGUCAGUGGUGAAAUCCCCGAGCUUAACUUGGGAACUGCCAUUGAUACUAUUUGUCUUGAAUACUGUGGAGGUUAGCGGAAUAUGUCAUGUAGCGGUGAAAUGCUUAGAUAUGACAUAGAACAUCAAUUGCGAAGACAGCUGGCUACACAAAUAUUGACACUGAUGCACGAAAGCGUGGGGAUCAAACAGG